UACCAGCACCCCCGAGUGGUCGGGACGUUUUAUUGGGCCUAAAGCAUCCGUAGCCGGUUCUACAAGUCUUCCGUUAAAUCCAUCUGCUUAACAGAUGGGCUGCGGAAGAUACUAUAGAGCUAGGAGGCGGGAGAGGCAAGCGGUACUCGAUGGGUAGGGGUAAAAUCCGUUGAUCCAUUGAAGACCACCAGUGGCGAAGGCGGCUUGCCAGAACGCGCUCGACGGUGAGGGAUGAAAGCUGGGGGGAGCAAACCGG
rnacentral:rRNA from 1 species